CGCUGANCUUAAGCAUAUCAAUAAGCGGAGGAAAAGAAANUAACAAGGAUUCCCCUAGUNACGGCGAGUGAAGAGGGAAAAGCCCAAAUUUGUNAUCUGGCUCUUUCAGAGUCCGAGUUGUAAUUUUAAGAACUGUUUUCAGUGCUGGNCCAUGUAUAAGUNUGUUGAAAAGCAGCAUCAUUGAGGGNGAUAAUCCCNUUUNUGAUAUGGNCNACCACUGCANUAUGAUACAGUCUCUAAGAGUNGAGUUGUUUGGGAANNCAGCUCAAAGUGGGUGGUAAAUUCCAUCUAAGGCUAAAUAUAGGNGAGAGACCGAUAGCAAACA
rnacentral:rRNA from 1 species